rnacentral:rRNA from 1 species
CCCUUAGAUGUUCUGGGCCGCACGCGCGCUACACUGAUGCAUUCAACGAGCCUAUCCUUGACCGACAGGUCCGGGUAAUCUUUGAAUCUGCAUCGUGACGGGGAUAGAUUAUUGCAAUUAUUAAUCUUCAACGAGGAAUGCCUAGUAGGCGCAAGUCAUCAGCUUGCGUCGAUUACGUCCCUGCCCUUUGUACACACCGCCCGUCGCUCCUACCGAUUGGGUGUGCUGGUGAAAUGUUCGGAUCGGCCGUUUGUCGCGGUUUCCGCGGCUCGUGGCUGAGAAGUUAAUUAAACCCUCCCACCUAGAGGAAGGAGAAGUCGUAACA